rnacentral:rRNA from 1 species
GAUAGCAUGAGCGCGUCUGAUGGAGCAUGCCGCGUGAGCGAUGAAGGUUUUCGGAUCUGUAAAGCUCUGUUGUAAGGGAAGAACACGUACGGGAGUAACUGCCCGUGCCUUGACGGUACCUUAUUAGAAAGCCACGGCUAACUACGUGCCAGCAGCCGCGGUAAU